rnacentral:misc_RNA from 1 species
AGAGCGGCGGAUGUCGGGAAGUUGGUCAAACUUGAUCAUUUAGAGGAAGUAAAAGUCGUAACAAGGUUUCCGUAGGUGAACCUGCGGAAGGAUCAUUACCGAUACAAAGAAUCCAAAAAGGUUANNNUAACCUUUGUGAACUGUACACAACCUUUAGGGGUCGGNNNNNGUGCCGUUAAAUGNGUCGUUCGUCCGUUGAUUCGGCGUUCGGCCAGCCCCGCCUUCUGCCAUGGUGGACGCACUUGAAUGUACCAGUCUGAAAGUGAAACACGAACUUGCUGCCUGUCCUGCCAGGUAGUAGAGCAAAUGUGGCAAACGAAAACGAGAGACAACUUUUAACGGUGGAUCUCUUGGCUCACGUAUCGAUGAAGAACGCAGCCAGCUGCGAUAAGUAGUGUGAAUUGCAGAAUUCAGUGAAUCAUUGAAUCUUUGAACGCAAAUGGCGCUCUUGGGUUCUCCCAGGAGCAUGUCUGUCUGAGUGUCGGAUAUUAUCUAACGCACUUGAGUGUGCGGAAUUGAGGCGUCACGGUGGAAGUUAGCUCGCCGUGUCCCUUGAAGGAAAGCGUGCUCGACUCGCAUCGUGCGGUUUCAAACUCGCACUCCGCAUGCGAAGGCUAAAACUACUUUGUCCUUCGUCGGGGUGCGGGUCCGCAAAAAAGGCGAGUCGGCCGACAAAGGUG